rnacentral:rRNA from 1 species
GACGAACGCUGGCGGCGUGCCUAAUACAUGCAAGUAGAACGCUGAAGGAGGAGCUUGCUUCUCCGGAUGAGUUGCGAACGGGUGAGUAACGCGUAGGUAACCUGCCUGGUAGCGGGGGAUAACUAUUGGAAACGAUAGCUAAUACCGCAUAAGAGUAGAUGUCGCAUGACAUUUGCUUAAAAGGUGCAACUGCGCCACUACCAGAUGGACCUGCGUUGUAUUAGCUAGUUGGUGAGGUAACGGCUCACCAAGGCAACGAUACAUAGCCGACCUGAGAGGGUGAUCGGCCACACUGGGACUGAGACACGGCCCAGACUCCUACGGGAGGCAGCAGUAGGGAAUCUUCGGCAAUGGACGGAAGUCUGACCGAGCAACGCCGCGGGAGUGAAGAAGGUUUUCGGAUCGUAAAGCUCUGCUGUAAGAGAAGAACGAGUGUGAGAGUGGAAAGUUCACACUGUGACGGUAUCUUACCAGAAAGGGACGGCUAACUACGUG